rnacentral:sRNA from 1 species
UGGUUCCAGAGGAUGCCACGGCCGCCGGUGUCACAGACACGACCAUGGCAAUGUCACCACUGAAUACUACGCCUGGUCUCGCAGCCUGGAGAACAAUGUCAACAUUGAUGAGUCAGCUGCAGUCAUACCAGAGAAAAAAAUUGUCCUGCUGUAUUCAAACGACACUGAGUUACUGAACCUAAAUAUCACCAAGGCCACAACACUGUACAGUUUCUUCAAUGAUUCAAAGUUUGGAGUCAUCAAACCGAGGCUGAGGAGAUUCCCAUGUAUACAACUUGAGAGUGUGGUAGAAACUUACGAAGGAGUUUCCAGUGAACUAAAGA